ACCGUGAGGUUUUGUCUGAAGCCAACAGUAGGGGCUUUAAGCCGAAGUCUAUGGCAAAGCUGUGAGCCGACGAACAGAAACAGCAUAGUAAGGCCGAGUCCGCGGGUAAGUCGGUACGACUCGAUUCCGAGUUGGCACAACACAACAAAGCCCGGGGUUCAGUGGAGGAGCCUGUCCCGGUGUUGUGUUGAGCCGGGAGUAAAUGCUGCGGUUGUGUAGU
rnacentral:ncRNA from 1 species